UACGUAGGAGGCGAGCGUUGUCCGGAAUCACUGGGCGUAAAGCGCGUGUAGGCGGAUGACUAAGUUUGCUGUUAAAGCGCCUGGCUUAACCGGGCGAGGUCGGCGAAAACUAGUCGUCUGGAGGCCGGUAGAGGGGGGUGGAAUUCCGGGUGUAGUGGUGAAAUGCGUAGAGAUCCGGAGGAACACCCGUGGCGCAGGCGGCCCCCUGGGCCGCGCCUGACGCUGAGACGCGAAAGCGCGGGGAGCGAACGGG
rnacentral:rRNA from 1 species